rnacentral:rRNA from 1 species
UACAGAGGUCCCGAGCGUUGUUCGGAUUCACUGGGCGUAAAGGGUGCGUAGGUGGUGAGGUGUGUCGGAUGUGAAAUCUCGGAGCUCAACUCCGAAACUGCAUUGGAAACUACCUUGCUGGAGGGUUGGAGGGGGGACUGGAAUACUUGGUGUAGCAGUGAAAUGCGUAGAUAUCAAGUGGAACACCAGUGGCGAAGGCGAGUCCCUGGACAACUCCUGACACUGAGGCACGAAAGCUAGGGGAGCAAACAGG